rnacentral:ncRNA from 1 species
UACAAGGGGUGCCUAAGUCGGCGUUCGCCGACGGCUGAGACGAAGCGCGGCUUCGAACCCUCGAACCUGAUACGGGUAAUACCGGCGUAGGAAGAACACU